ensembl:lncRNA
AAUGCUCAUAUUUUAAUAAAUAUACAAAAUAUUUUAAAAAGCAGCUAUGAUUUCUUAUAUAGUUAAUGAAGAUAUUUUGAAUAGAAAUAUUUAUAGGUAUAUUGCAGGUAAUGUUGGAGAUAACACUGUCAGGAAUUAAGGAAUUAUUCUGUCUUAGCAACAAAUGGAUCUAGAUAUUGAAUAUGAUGGAGACAUCCAUUCAUGAAAGGAUAUAUGGCACAUUGCCUUCAGUAGUCACAAACUGUUUCCCUGGCUGUCACCUCUUUUCUUUUGAAAUAGUAUUAGACCAGCUGAUUAAAGUUCUACUGCAAUUGUGUCUUCAUAUAGAGAAUUCUGUUUAUUAUUAUGCUGUUUCAUGAUAAACAUGUAUAACCACUUUAAUGUGUUUCACCUCAAACCCUCUCAAGCAGUUAAUCAUAGAAUCCACUAGGUUGGAAAAGACCAUCAGAUUAUCAAGUCCAGCCAUUAAUUAUACGAGGUAUCUGUGUCCUUCUACUUCUUCAUUAUUCUCUACCACUCUUCCCUUCUCUGCCCUAUUUCCCAUACUGAGGAGUUUUUUCCUUCUUCUUCCUCCAGAGCCACUGCAUUCCUGUGCCGGUGACAAGCAGCACGCUGAAUGGCAGAUGUGCACAGCAGCCAACUGCUCUGUCAGGAAUGGCCCUCACAGACUGGCCCUGCAAAACGGCUCCUGAACUAUGAACUUACUGCUGAAGCUGAAGACAUAUCAGCCAUUUGUCUCUUUGUUAUCUGCCUUACAGCAUAUCUUUGUACUCUGAAAGAAGAAAAGGUAACAAUGAAGAUCUUUGAAAAAUCAUUUAUCAGGCUACAAGACCCCUGGCGUGUUGAACAAGGAAGAAAUCAUGGAGGUAACUUCUGCCCCAAUGGAUCCCAGAUCCAAAAUCUUCUUUGCAAACAUAGGCUUUCAUUUACUACAACUGGAUCAUAAAGUGACAAGUUUUCCCCUAGAAUUUAGCCUAAAGCCUCUUCUGAUCAGAUUAACUCUGUUGUAUUCAGUUGCAGACCUGGAUUAACCCCUAAGAAACACUGUAUUGUUUCUCUUCAUUGCAUAUAUCCCCAUGUCUCCUAUUAUCUCCUCUUUACUUCAGACAAAGUGAUACAAAGUUUAAUCCAUGAUAAGCUUUUUUUUUUUUUUUUUUUUUUUUUAGUUUUGGGUAUCUGUUAAGAAGUCUUUUUUGCCUGUUUUUUCCNNNNNNNNNNNNNNNNNNNNUUUAAUCCAUUUAACCUUUUUUUUUUUUUUUUUUUUUUUUAGUUUUGGGUAUCUGUUAAGAAGACUUCUUUGACAGUUGUUUCCCCUUUUAAUACAAACAGCCCGUCCAAAUAGAAAACCUUGUCAAUAGAAAUUGUUUAUCUGAAACACUGAAGGGACAGCAGGAGAAGUGCUAUUAUUUUAUGGGUUGCAGGGACAAAAUUGCCAGUGCUAAAUCCAUUGUCCCUUUUUGUAAGCAAAUUGAACUCUUGUAACCAAAUUGAAAACAUUUAUGUAUGUAUCAAAUGCAUAGUUCUUGUGAUAGACCUACUACUAUAUUGUAUUUUGCAGUGAAAGAAAAACUGUGAAGUUUUUCCAACACAAAAGAACUUUUUAAAAUAAUUAAUUUAUUUAUUUAUUCAGUAAAAGCUUUUCUAAAGCUUUUUCUUAAAAAAAUGCUUUGUCAGCAAUUGUUUCUGAUACAAGUGACAGGAAACCUAAAGAAUGCAAUUAUAAAAGUGGAUACUGGAAGGGAAGGGAUUGGCGUUACUUAUGUACCUGCCUAACUACCUACUUACUAGAAAUAAUAGACUUAGAAAUAAUAUAACAUGGGGCACAUUAAUGGUUUGGAUAACACAGCUGUAUUUGGUCAGUGAUGAUUUAUAUGAAAAUAAUAUAGGACUUGUUUCAUCAUUGCUACCAAUACAUGUUGAUGUAAUAUAACUUAAUAGCAAGCCCGGCUCUUUUUCAGCAAACACCUAAGAUCCAAGGAAGCUUCACUGGCCUCAUCACAUGAGUUUUGCUAAGGUCUCUUCAAAUAAGUGUUCUUUGUGGGGUAGAGUUAGGGCUAAACAGAGAUAAUCCUGUCAAGACUUUAAGAUGUUUUCAGAAACUCAAAUCAGGACACAGUACAGCAGAUUAUCCCAUGGCCUUUCACCUCCAAGGCUAGCACACGUGGUAUUGAGAGAUGAGACAUAGCUUUUAAAAAUGUGUACAUUAGAAGUUUCUGAACUGACUGGUAUUAACUAUAUUCCCACAAAUGUUUCCUGCAGCCUUUGGAUGGCAGUGUUAUACACCUGGCACAGACUGACUGAAUUUCCACAGUCUUUCUGAUGCCCUCCGAUAACUUCUUAAAAGAGAGACUUAUUUUUUCUGUUUAGAUUUUUUUUCCCAAUAAAAAGUCUUCAUAUUUUCCUUUAAAACA